ensembl:scaRNA
GGCCUCUCUCCCGUAGAGCUGAAGAGAAGAGUUCUCCUCAGCCGGGACUGGAGCCCAAGAUGAACUCUUGAGGGUUGUUUUCGGGGCUGCUGUGAGCUGGGCAGCCGUGUUUUCCUACCUCGGACAUUC